GUCUGGCCUGCCCACUGAAUUAUUAAAGGGCCGCGGUAUCUCUGACCGUGCGAAGGUAGCAUAAUCAUUAGUCUUUUAAUUGGAGGCUCGUAUGAAAGGUCGAACGAGUGAUAAACUGUCUUAACAGAAAAAAUUGAAAUUAACUUUAAAGUGAAAAGGCUUUAAUAUAUUAGAAAGACGAUAAGACCCUAUAAAUCUUUACACCAUAUUUAGUAUUAGACCAAUCUGUUAGUUUAAGGAAAAAUACUAAAAAAGUGUUUUGUUGGGGCAACAAAGAUAUAAAUAAAUAACUGUUUUUAUUUACAUACAAAAAUUUUUGAUAAAUAAAUUGAUCCUUUUUAAAGAUUAAAAGAUUAAGUUACUUUAGGGAUAACAGCGUCAUUUUUCUUGAGAGUCCUCAUCGAAAGAAAAGUUUGCGACCUCGAUGUUGAAUUAAAAUUUCUUCAUAGUGCAGCAGCUAUGAGAGAGAGUCUGU
rnacentral:rRNA from 1 species